AUUGAACGCUGGCGGCCGGCCUAACACAUGCAAGUCGAACGCGUGGCGGACGGGUGAGUAAUGUCUGGGAAACUUCCCGAUGUAGGGGUAUAACUACUGUAAACGUUAGCUAAUACCGCAUACCAUCGGAUGUGCCCACAUGGGAUUAGCUAGUCGGUGGGGUAACGGCUCACCUAGGCGACGAUCCCUAGCUGGUCUGAGAGGAUGACCAGCCACACUGGAACUGAGACACGGUCCAGACUCCUACGGGAGGCAGCAGUGGGGAAUAUUGCACAAUGGGCGAAAGCCGGAGGCAGCCAUGCCGCGUGUGUGAAGAAGGCGUUCGGGUUGUAAAGUACUGUCAGCGAGGAGGCGUUACUCGAAGAAGAAGCACCGGCUAACUCCGUGCCAGCAGCCGCGGUAAUAC
rnacentral:rRNA from 1 species